rnacentral:rRNA from 1 species
CCUACGGGGGGCAGCAGUGAGGAAUAUUGGUCAAUGGUCGGAAGACUGAACCAGCCAAGCCGCGUGAGGGAGGAAGGUACAGAGUAUCGUAAACCUCUUUUGUCAGGGAACAAAGACAGGAACGCGUCCCCGAAUGAGAGUACCUGAAGAAAAAGCAUCUGCUAACUCCGUUCCAGCAGCCGCGGUAAUACGGGGGAUUCGAGCGUUAUCCGGAUUUAUUGGGGUAAAGGGGUGGGAGGGCGGUCUGUUAAGCCAGCGGUCAAAGCCCGGGGGUAAACCCCGGCCCGACGUUGAGACUGGCAGUCUCGAGUUGGAGAGGGGUAUGCGGAAUGCGCGGUGUAGCAGUGAAAGGCAUAGAUAUCGCGCGGAACACCGGUUGCGAAGGCAGCAUGCCGGCUACUAACUGACGCUGAGGCACGAAAGCGAGGGUAUCGAACGGGAUUAGAUACCCGAGUAGUC